CCAGGGUUCUAUGCUCUCUGUCAGGAUGUUGCACUGCUGGAUGGUGGUGUGCUGUAACUGGCUGGCCUCUUGCUGCAGACUCUGAGCUGUGCGGCAGAUCGGCAGGCUGGCCACUACUUCCUCUGGUAGCCGGAGGGCGCUCUGACACUGCUGCACUGCUGCCACCUGCUGCUUGAAGCCCUCCAUUUCCACCAACAGACGCUGAUGAACGAAUGAAGAGAGAUGUUGGAGAGAGUCAACACCCUUGUCUUCCAGUUUCAGAGUGAUAGUCUUCAGCUUCAUCUCGAUGUCCUGGAGUCUGGAGCCGAAGUCCUCUUUCACAUCUCUUGUCUGUUGCACCUCCCUUUCCCUCGCCUGGACCUAAAGCAGAGGGCAGAAAUACACACAAUUCAUUGUACUGUCAAACACUAAUAUACUGUAAGCCUUUAAACAGUGCUAUUAUGGACAUUUCAGCAUAAACUCUCUGGAGCCCUGCAGCAGGAAAGUCUUACAACAGGCUGCAUAGUGGAA
rnacentral:lncRNA from 1 species